rnacentral:rRNA from 1 species
AAAUUGAAGAGUUUGAUCAUGGCUCAGAUUGAACGCUGGCGGCAGGCCUAACACAUGCAAGUCGAACGGUAACAGGAAGCAGCUUGCUGCUUUGCUGACGAGUGGCGGACGGGUGAGUAAUGUCUGGGAAACUGCCUGAUGGAGGGGGAUAACUACUGGAAACGGUAGCUAAUACCGCAUAACGUCGCAAGACCAAAGAGGGGGACCUUCGGGCCUCUUGCCAUCGGAU